rnacentral:lncRNA from 12 species
AUGCUUGUGCUGUCUUUAUUUCUACCAUCCCAUUUCUUUCAUCCUUUAAAUCCCUAUAAAAUGUCAUUCAAUGACAUUCACCAUAUUCUGCCUCUAGUUUAUUUGAGUGCAUUGUUAGAGGAAUAUUUACAAUUUUUUAUUUUUUCUUUUUUGUUUACAAUGGUUUUCUGUUAUUACCCUUGUUGUGCCCAAGAUUGCGAAUCCGAGAAACCACCGAGGAGCCGACACCGAUGCAAACACACGAGGGUUUAUUUACAAGCUCGAGCCUGGGUCCAAGUGCACCCGACACAGCGGAGCGGGGACUUGGGCCCCGAGACUAAGAGGCGGCGCAGCUUUAUAGGGGCCCGUGGCCAGUGGGAUACGCAGAAAGUUGCACAGUCAUGCUGGUCCACACGCAGGUGGCCGAUUGAAUUACACCUUACCCUAUAGGAUCCACUUGAGCUGGUCUAUUACUUUGGUCAGAAUCGGGGCACAGUUUUGGGGGGCACAAGGCGGGGUUACAUUGUUAUGAGCCGAUUUCCGAUUAGGGUGUGCCCAGAGGCUCGACUAGGGUGGGGCAGCGCCUUAAGCAAUAAGCAGGUCAUGUGGGGGUCAUACGGGAGGUGGCCGGUGCAGCACAAAAUGGAAUCAGUCCUGCUUUGCUUGUCCAGGGGCAGGGGAUUUUUGUUAAAUUUCCUGGGUCCCACAACCCUCACUAUACAAAUCAGGAAAUGGAGGCUCUAAGAGAUUAAGUCAUUUGCCAAAUGUUCUGUUGCUUGUAGGUGGAAAAUGGGUUCAAGCCCAGGUCUGUCUGUUCUAGAGUCCAUUGUUUUUCCUGAGACUGUUCCACCAUCACCUGUAACCAUCCUGAGAGAUGAUCAUUUCACAUAAACAGACACAGGGCCAGUCAUGGUGUUCACUCUAAUGUAGAUGAAAUGGAAUGUCAACUGAGAUGUGGUUCUGCUCGGCAUCCAUUUCUCACUCUCUCUUUCUAGGAUUUAUUCUAACUGCUCCUGAUGGAGUCCCUGCAACUCUGGAAAGCUGAAUCUAUCCCUAGAUCCAGGUGUGGACCCUGAUUAGCUUAAUCCAUCAUGAAUAGGUUCAUUUAUCUUCUUGGUCAUAGUUUUAGAGUAGGCAGUCAGGAUCUAACAAGACUCCUGGAGGCCAACAAAGAGGAAGUCCUUGCCAGCUAUUAAGAAAGUCAGGCCUGCCCUGGCAACCAUCCACUAGAAGCUGGAUCAAACCAGACAAGCCUGAGACAGUGGGUGCCAUAACAGGAAACCCCUGACCAAAUAAGAAAGAAAAAGCAUGAAACCCUGCUUCUAAGAAAUCCCUUCCUCAAGUCAUGAAUAUUCUACUUUCUUGUUAACAAAUAUUGAGGAAAAAAAAAAAAAAAGAAAGAAAGAAAAGAAAAGAAACCUGAACCCUGAGGAUGCAGCUCUCUCUCUCU